GUUUGAUCCUGGCUCAGGACGAACGCUGGCGGCGUGCUUAACACAUGCAAGUCGAACGGUAAGGCCCCUUCGGGGUACACGAGUGGCGAACGGGUGAGUAACACGUGAGUAACCUGCCCUUGACUCUGGGAUAACAUCUGGAAACAGGUGCUAAUACCGGAUACGAACCUCCUCGGCAUCGAGGAGGUUGGAAAGCUCCGGCGGUCAAGGAUGGACUCGCGGCCUAUCAGCUUGUUGGUGAGGUAACGGCUCACCAAGGCUCCGACGGGUAGCCGGCCUGAGAGGGCGACCGGCCACAUUGGGACUGAGAUACGGCCAAACUCCUACGGGAGGCAGCAGUGGGAAUAUUGCACAAUGGGCGAAAGCCUGAUGCAGCAACGCCGCGUGCGGGAUGACGGCC
rnacentral:rRNA from 1 species